UACGGAGGGAGCUAGCGUUGUUCGGAAUUACUGGGCGUAAAGCGCACGUAGGCGGCUUUGUAAGUUAGAGGUGAAAGCCCGGAGCUCAACUCCGGAACUGCCUUUAAGACUGCAUCGCUUGAAUCCAGGAGAGGUGAGUGGAAUUCCGAGUGUAGAGGUGAAAUUCGUAGAUAUUCGGAAGAACAUCAGUGGCGAAGGCGGCUCACUGGCCCGAUACUGACGCUGAGGCACGAAAGCGUGGGGAGCAAACAGG
rnacentral:rRNA from 1 species